GAUGAACGCUGGCGGCGUGCCUAAUACAUGCAAGUCGAGCGAACAGACGAGGAGCUUGCUCCUCUGACGUUAGCGGCGGACGGGUGAGUAACACGUGGAUAACCUACCUAUAAGACUGGGAUAACUUCGGGAAACCGGAGCUAAUACCGGAUAAUAUAUUGAACCGCAUGGUUCAAUAGUGAAAGACGGUUUUGCUGUCACUUAUAGAUGGAUCCGCGCCGCAUUAGCUAGUUGGUAAGGUAACGGCUUACCAAGGCAACGAUGCGUAGCCGACCUGAGAGGGUGAUCGGCCACACUGGAACUGAGACACGGUCCAGACGCCUACGGGAGGCAGCAGUAGGGAAUCUUCCGCAAUGGGCGAAAGCCUGACGGAGCAACGCCGCGUGAGUGGUGAAGGUCUUCGGAUCGUAAAACUCUGUUAUUAGGGAAGAACAAAUGUGUAAGUAACUAUGCACGUCUUGACGGUACCUAAUCAGAAAGCCACGGCUAACUACGUG
rnacentral:rRNA from 1 species